AACGAACGCUGGCGGCAGGCUUAACACAUGCAAGUCGAACGGCUGUAGCAAUACAGCAGUGGCAGACGGGUGAGUAACACGUGGGAACCUUCCUAGGGGUACGGAACAACUCAGGGAAACUUGAGCUAAUACUGUAUACGUCCGAAAGGAGAAAGAUUUAUCGCCCUUAGACGGGCCCGCGUCGGGUUAGCUAGUUGGUGGGGUAACGGCCUACCAAGGCGACGAUCCGUAGCUGAUCUGAGAGGAUGAUCAGCCACACUGGGACUGAGACACGGCCCAGACUCCUACGGGAGGCAGCAGUGGGGAAUCUUGGACAAUGGGCGCAAGCCUGAUCCAGCCAUGCCGCGUGAGUGAAGAAGGCCUUAGGGUUGUAAAGCUCUUUUGGCAGGGACGAUAAUGACGGUACCUGCAGAAUAAGCCCCGGCAAACUUCGUGCCAGCCGCCGCGGUAAAAC
rnacentral:rRNA from 1 species